ensembl:lncRNA
UAGGAGGCGAAACGCGUCUUUCAAAGGUGGUACCUCCACCUAGACAAAGAGUUUCCAUUGGUUGGAGGUGAAUUGCUUAAAAAAAGAGAGAGAGAGAAAGAAAGAGAAACAAAAGCCCCGAGCUUUGGAAUUUCCUUCUCCUGUUCAACCUGAAACACUCUUGAAGCUGGAAUGAUGGCUCAGCAGUUAAGAGCACGGACUGCUGGUCCAGAAGACCUGGGUUCAAUUCCCAACACCUACAUGGUGGUCCAAAACCAUUCAUAACUCCAGUUCCAGGGAACGCUUCUUCUGGCUUCAGUGGGCAUCGGUCAUUUCCAUGGUUCAGUGCAUACACGCAGACGGUGGAGACUGAACCCAGCGCCUCACCCAUGCUAGUAAGUGCUUUACCGGUGAGCUGCAGCCCCAGUUCGUUUGAAGGCAAGACGGGACAUCAAGUGGCUUGACUUUUGUACCCCACUUUCUUUGGCCAUCAAAUACAGGCUGUUCUGAGCAGCGAGUGACCUUGGCAGCAGCCUCAGUGCACUUAGUAAACGUGACAUUGCUAAGAGCCCUGACCAUGUGUGGGUGGCAAGUCCUCCCGUAAAAACUGACUGAUGAUCAUGCCACCAUCUGCACUGAGAGAGAAGCUCCUUGGGGUCCUGCCGGAUCUUCCUGAGGGAAAGAAAGGAUUGUGGGAGGGCCCAGCCACAGCCCACAAUAAGC